rnacentral:rRNA from 1 species
UACGUAGGGUGCGAGCGUUGUCCGGAAUUAUUGGGCGUAAAGAGCUCGUAGGCGGCUUGUCGCGUCGGAUGUGAAAGCCCGGGGCUUAACUCCGGGUCUGCAUUCGAUACGGGCGGGCUAGAGUUCGGUAGGGGAGAUCGGAAUUCCUGGUGUAGCGGUGGAAUGCGCAGAUAUCAGGAGGAACACCGAUGGCGAAGGCAGAUCUCUGGGCCGUAACUGACGCUGAGGAGCGAAAGCAUGGGGAGCGAACAGG